GAUGAACGCUAGCGGCAGGCUUAAUACAUGCAAGUCGUGGGGCAGCAUGAAGUAGCAAUACUUUGAUGGCGACCGGCAAACGGGUGCGGAACACGUACACAACCUUCCUUUUAGUGGGGAAUAGCCCAGAGAAAUUUGGAUUAAUACCCCGUAACAUAGCGAUGAGGCAUCUCAUUGCUAUUAUAGCUUCGGCGCUAGAUGAUGGGUGUGCGUAUGAUUAGAUAGUUGGCGAGGUAACGGCUCACCAAGUCUACGAUCAUUAGCUGAUGGGAUAGCAUGAUCAGCCACACGGGCACUGAGACACGGGCCCCACUCCUACGGGAGGCAGCAGUAAGGAAUAUUGGUCAAUGGACGAAAGUCUGAACCAGCCAUGCCGCGUGAAGGAUUAAGGUCCUCUGGAUUGUAAACUUCUUUUAUAUGGGACGAAAAAAGGUCUUUCUAGAUCACUUGACGGUACCAUAUGAAUAAGCACCGGCUAACUCCGUGCCAGCCGCCGCCGUAACAC
rnacentral:rRNA from 1 species